CAGCCAAUCCUUCGACGACGUGGCGAACCGGGUGACGUAACUACUAUCGGAACCGUGCCCACGUCGUGGGGGACUAACCGUACGACGAAAUUUACCGCCUAAUACCCGCAUACCGACUCUAAGGAUGAAAGCGGGGGACCUUGCAAGAGGCCUCGCGCGACUGGAGCGGUGAUAUCCAGCAUUCAGGUUGUGGUGCAGGUAAAAGCUCCACCCAAGCCGACGAAUCUGUAGCUGGUUUGAGCAGAACGACCCAGCCCACACUGGGGACUGAGCACACGGCCCCAGAACUCCUACGGGCAGGCAAGCAGUGGGGCAAAUUUUGGGCACAAUGGGCGCAAAGCCUGCAUCCCAGCCAAUGCCGCGUGCAGGCAAGCAAGGCCUUCGGGUUGUAAACUGCUUUUGUACGGCAACGCAAAAGGCCUGCCUUCAAUCACGGCGGGCCCAUGCACGGUACCGUCAAGCAAUAAGCACCGGCUAACUCACGUGCCAGCAGCCGCGGUAAUACGUAGGGUGCGCAGCGUUAAUCGGAAUUACUGGGCGUAAAGCGUGCGCAGGCGGUGAUGUAAGACAGUUGUGAAAUCCCCGGGCUCAACCUGGGAAUUGCAUCUGUGACUGCAUCGCUAGAGUACGGU
rnacentral:rRNA from 1 species